rnacentral:rRNA from 1 species
AACGAACGCUGGCGGCGUGCCUAAUACAUGCAAGUCGAGCGGUAAGGCUUUCACAGAUUAUUUAACCGGAUAAGUUUCCUUUAGGAAUACUGUCUGCGCCGAUGUUUACCGGCUGGUAAACAUCAGUUGAAUAAUGUGUGAAAGUACACGAGCGGCGGACGGCUGAGUAACGCGUAGGAACAUACCCCAAAGUGAGGGAUAAGCACCGGAAACGGUGUCUAAUACCGCAUGUGCUCUCGGAGUAAAGCUUUAUGUGCUUUGGGAGUGGCCUGCGUAUGAUUAGUUUGUUGGUGAGGUAAUGGGCUCACCAAGACUACGAUCAUUAGCUGGUCUGAGAGGAUGAUCAGCCAG